CAUCAAGACAUAUGUAUAUACGUGUAGAAUACAGUGGGCAAGCCGGCAAGGCUGCUAUAGACAAUUAUACAUCCAAAACUGAAAGCCGACAUGGCCACAUACAACCCAACUAGACAUACUGUCUACAACACUCUAACAGAAACAUAACUCUACAAAGACGGGACUGAGCCACAUCAUACCGAUAUACAUUAAUAUGUACAAACGUAUCGUACCAAAAUCAAAAGCAGCUCCAGAUCAAAUGGAGCACGCCAACUCUCGCUGAUCAGGGAUCCUAAGAAUGGGGGCCGUCAGCUUGCCUACCAACACCUGCGGGCAUGAAACGCAGGCCCCUUGAAAUAGGGCGUCAGUACAAAAAAUGAACUGAGUAUGUAAGACAUGGAAAUUAGUACGUAAAAGACAUAGAUGAAAUAUGGAAUACUGAAGCACAUCUUUAAAUCUGAAUAACUUUGUAAAUUCUGAAACGUUUAUAACGUCAUGCACGUGUGUGUAAAUGUCAUGCCAUGCAUAGGUAUGGGUGUACAUAAUAUCAUCAAGCCACUAAGAGCAUCCCAUCAUAUCAUCUCGGCCACUGUGGGCAAUAUCAUCAACAUAUACCAGCUGAUCAGGUGGUGGUGCGUAUAUGACGUCGUAACCUCUUCCCAUAUCCCAUAUACAUACAUAUAUACACGUAUAUUAUGCCAUUUGAAUCAUAUUUCAGCCACUGUGGGCAACAUCAUCAUCAUAUACCAGCUGAUCAGGUGGUGGUGAGUGAAAUGCAUGAAAAAUACAUAAUAAUCUCGAUAUUUUUUCUUGAUAAACUUUUCCAACUGCGUAUUAUUCUGAGACCCAUGAACAGGAGAUAAUAAUAAUUCUCAUGGGGAAUCAAGAAUAUAGACACCCCUAUUAUUUCUAUGAAUAGAGUAAUUUAUAGAAACUGUGUAUUUGCUCCUACCUUUCGUAUAAUCUGGACCAUGCCAAAAGAAAGAAAGAAGGACUUUAACAUACCUGUCUCUUGAAUUAUUUGAACAAAAUUUGCCUCUGCUCCUUAAAAAUUCAUGGACGAAAGCUUGUUUCUAGAUCUUAAAAAAUUUGGAACGAAAUAUAAUAACUUUCUUUCCUUGAGAUUUUGACAGAAAACAUUUCUGUUUCUUGCUUUUUGAACUAAAGAAUGGUUGUAAACCAACACUUGACUCCAACGUUUUUUGAAUCUUUGUUGAAGCUUCUGUUUUUAAGUUAUUGAUUUCAAUUCAAAGAAUGAAUUGAAGCUUCUGAUUCUCGUUUUCCUUCUUUC
rnacentral:lncRNA from 1 species